rnacentral:rRNA from 1 species
CCUCGCCCUACCGUCCCAUCUACCCCACCCUUCCAACCUCGAUCUUCUCUCCGUGUGGAGCUGGUGGCAGACGUACGGCCGAGGAGAUGAAGCAACGGCGGCGUGCCACCGCCACCUCCGAUGCACAGCGGCCACGGCACCAUCGGCACAAGAUUCGCGUGGGCAGCCCAGCCGUCGAGCAAGAGAGGCCUACCAACGACCGGCCAGAUUAGAGCCUCCGCUCAUCUCCGGUCCGUCAUCGUUCAGUUCCCGUGACCCGUGCACCGACGGAAGACCCUGGCCCCGCCUCCUCUGAACGUCGCAGUUCUUCUCCACGAAGAUUGUGCCCUUCAUAGUCUGACGGGGCGGUCACUGUUGUCAACAUCUUCGUGCUCUUCCUUCACGAGGAAAAUAGCAGAUGGUGUCGUCCAUGGCGUCGUCCCCAGCUCUAGCACGUCGGAGAUGACGGGCCACCAGUCAACACGAGCUCUACCAUG